UUUACUCAGUUAGAUUUUGGCGAAAGAGUGUUGUUUGUGUUUUUUGUGAUAAAUUUAAAAAAUUGAAACAGUUAAAAUUGAAACUUUAUCGGGAGCAUUUUCCUCCAAUAUUUUUUUACAUUUUUAGACGUGGACUAACUCAACAACAAUGCAUCGAUGAACUUAAUUCGACUUUUCGAGUUAAAGCACCCUCCAGGACUACUGUUAAUCGCUGGUUUUCUGACUACAGUCUUUUCGUAGUUUUCUUAAGGAUGAAUUUCGGGAUGCGAAAACCUUGAUGCAGUGCGGAAACUGAUUUUGCAGGAUCGUCAUGUGACUUACCAUGAGAUCGAGGUAGCCGUGCACCAUAUAGUCCUGAUGUAGCACCUAACGACUUCUUUUUAUUCUCAUACAUUAAGAAUAAGUUACGUGGGCAACGAUUUUUGACAUCAGAAGACGCGAUUGACUCGUUUAAAAAGCAUGUUUUGGAGGUGCCUGACUCGAUGUGGGAGAAGAGCUUUGAUGAUUGGUUUUAUCGAAUGGAAUAGUGUAUUGAUCAUCAGGGAGAAUAUUUUGAGAAACAAUAAGGUCAUAUUUGUCGGUAGCUUAUAGUUUUUUAUUACAAAUCCCAAAAUAUAAAAGGUAGCCCUCGUAUCAACAAGGUUAAAGACAUUAAAAUGACUCCCAAGGCAAAUCUAGUUUCUUUUGAUGUCCAAAAUCAAUUUCCUAGCAUUCCGCCGACUGACGUAAUAAAAUAAGGCUUGUUAGAUAGUUUAAUAGUUUGUUUAUCUGAUCAAUCCCAAAUAUUUGUGGAAAUCUAAACAUUCUUUUUAUUUUAUUUACUAACCAAUUUGAGAUACUGGUCUGAUCAAAAAAUAGAAGAGAAUAUCAAUCGAAAGAAGAUAGAAGUAUAAGACCAAUUUUAAUUCGCAAAUGACACUGUUGGCAUGCAACUAUAAGGAAUAUACAUUAGUGUUACAGCAACAGUAAAAAUAGGAGGUAAAAUAUCACAAGAAUUCUUCGUCAGUAAGGGGCUAAAGCGGAUAUGCUGCUUAUCACUACCACUUAAACUAUAGCGCCACAUAUAUAUACUAUGCCUGGCGGAUUACCGGGUGGUUAUACAUAAAAACAAUGGGGUCUAGAAAUUAAUAUUGAUAAAACAGGUCUAAUCCUCUAGCCGCUACAAAUGAUAUACUAUGGGACAAAACUAAAUCCAAACUGAACAUGCAAAAAACUUUCAAUACCUUAGUACAAGGUACCAUUACGACGAUAAACGAAAGACAAAGAAGAGCCACUGAAAUGAAUUAUGACCAACGAAAGAAAUCAUUUACUUUGAUGAGACAUGGCUUCAUAUUACAUCAUAUUAUAGGCUCGUGCAUUGUUUAAAAAGAAGAAGAAGAACUUUACGGCAACCGCUAUAUUAUUCACCCUAUAGAGCAAAUGCAGCACAAACUGAAUCGCAAUAAUCUGAUUCGCACAAUAGUCAGCUUCGAAGAAUUUAAGGCAAGUUCGUCGUACUUUCCUUAUCCCAUAUUUGCUUUAAGAUAAGAAUAAAACGUUUUCACGUAUUAAAUAAAUAAAAUAUUUUCUUUGUGUCGGAAAUGAAAUUGCCAGUGCAUUCACAAGUCGCGCCAUCUCUUGGCCAAUUUUGUAAUCAACACCAAACGCUGCUUCGAAAUUCUAAAGGGAACGCUCGCCAUCGGCAGCUCACGGUAGAGGUCUCUGUGGGGUUUGCAUGCCAGUCUAACUUUGGUCGCAGUUUUUGAGAGCUUUUAACACUUCGCACGGAGAUUUAAGUCUAUUGUUUCAGAUACCACUUUGUUCAGGAUGGAUUAGAUGAAUGGAUUCUUAAGUCGAAUUGCAUUAGUCAUCUGAGAUGGCAGUCUGGGGCAGAUUUGACAUUUGAAAUGAUUUCCUCUUUCGGGAUAACACGUGGGGCAAAGACAAAGUUUGAUAAUUGGGCAAAACGUCAGCAAGUACUAUUGAUCAACGACCUACGUGAAUAGUUUUGCUGGGCGUCUGUCGAAUCGGUUCGAAGCUCGACUAUCCCUACCGCUGGCGGAAAAUUGCGGUUUGCUUUCCGUUCGGCAACUGCGGGCAAUAAAUUUCGACGCCGCUGGUGUCACGACGAGAACCAUAACCCUAUGACGGUCGGGAUCGGGAUUAUUACCGGCAGGGGAGGGGGAACGACGAAGGAUAUCGUCAGGAAGAGAAUUGUGCAUAUUUUGUUUCGGGUCGGAUGCUACGUCGUUACAAUAAUGUCAAAGACGAGCGACGUAGGUCGUGCCUUUGUUCUUCGCAAAUCGUGACGAAUCAUUUGGCUCCCGUUUGCAAAUAAUAAUAAUAAUAAUAAUAAUAAUAAUAAUAAUAAUAAUAAUAAUAAUAACAAUAAUAAUAAUAAAUGCAUUUAUUCCUUCGCCAAAUAUACAUGUUAUAUGAGGCUGAUGAAUAAAAUUUACAGUGUUUAACGUACUGUGUGUUAAAAAGAAAUCCUUGUUAAAAAAGAACAUAUAAUAUAUGUAUGUAUAUAGUGUAUCUUCAAUGAUAUCACAAAAAAAAAAUUACAAAAGAGAAAAUGGAAGGAAAAAGAGUUAUUGAUUAUAAUGAGUAUCUACUCUCAUUAGAUGGUGCAAUUCUGUGUCCAAUUAGUUUUUGAAAGAAUUAACACUGCGUCUUCCGACAAGGAUUUCCGUGUAUGGUCUGUUCAUAUAUAUAAGAAAGUGACCAAUUGCUUUUGAAUGGGAUUAACCAAGGGGGGUCAUUAACAUUAACAAGAUUAUUACCUAAACUUUCGGAAUUUAACUUCAGGUAAAAUAAUUUUAUACCUGCCUGUGUUUAAUAUUCUUCUUAAAUUCUGAAUGUUUUACUACAUUGCAUCGGUGGUUAGGUGGAGUAGCGCUACUAGACAUCCGCCACCUGUACAUCUUUAUUUUGUUAUAUUCUUUUUGUUGUAUUUUAA